AUAGGGAAAAAGUUCAGGUGUUUCACCUCCUCCAGCCAUCGUGUAUCACAGCUGACUCUCAGAGCAACAACCGGAGGCGGAGGCGGAGAGACUUUGUUACAUCAGAGUCUGCUUUGACUUUCCUCUGACUGCCGUCCGGACCGAGUGAAGAACUGCUGGAGGCGCUGGGCCUGCCGGAGGUGACUUCCUGUUUAACAGCUGGGCCCUUGUUCGCCCCCUGCACGAGCUACACGCCGAUAAUCUCCCAUGAGUCUUUCCACAUGGCAGAGAAGACGCCAUGUCGCUCUGCUGUUUUUCCUGCCUUCCAACAAAGAAGAAAAGGUCAUUAAUGACCACGGUGUAUAAUUGAUGAGUGUGAAGAGUGGAUGUCUUCGCUUGACUGGACAAUCGAACGCAUAUGAGGGCGAAAGCUCAGGGAUUUCCUCCUUCCAUUUCCCAGGACAGAGCUGCAAUUACAACUUGGGAUGGAAGAAGACCAGCUGUGCGGCCCAUUGGGAAUGGUGAGGAUGCUAAGAUUAGGGCGCCUCUCAGAGGAAUACCACUGGGACUGCACCUAUAUAUCAUGCUGGGAUCAAAGCAGCCGGAAUAGUUUCCGAGCUCAUGGCUGCUUUUCAAAGUGCCCUGACAAGGUCAUCGUGACCAAACAGAACCAACCGCCCAUCAUAGCACCUAGUGUGCUGUGUUAUGACCUGUC